AUGGACGACUCGAACAUGUUCAUCCAGUGGGCCAUGGAGACGCUGGAGCAGGAGCAGGACGCCGCCGCCGCCGCCGGAGACGUUUUCCCGUCAUCACUCCUAGAGUUCGACAACCCGGCGGAGCUGCAGAACGGCACGCACAUGGCGGCCCACCGACACGGAGCCACCGACAGCUGGAGCUCAGGCGACAGUGGCGCUGCGGUGGCCGUGGAGAACGACGGCUGGUCGUCCAACUGCAGCACCAACUACCCGGCCGCGAGCCUGGAACUUCACCUCGGCCAUACCGCAGCCGCCCAGCAUUAUCGAGGCCACCCCGAGCCCACCCGCAGCUCCCGGCCACGUCGUGCUGGAGCUGGCGCACAGGAACACGUCGUGGCGGAGCGGAAGCGCCGGGAGAAGAUCAACCGACGCUUCAUCGAGCUCUCCACCGUCAUCCCCGGCCUCAAGAAGAUGGACAAGGCGACCAUCCUGUCGGACGCCCUGAGGUACGUCAAGGAGCAGCAGGAGAAGCUCAAGGCACUCCAGGACCGUGACGUGAGGAGCAUCGACUCCGUGGUGCUAGUGAAGAGGCCGUGCAUCUCCAACAGCGAUGAUGGCUUCCCGUCACCGCCGCCGUCAGCAGCAGGUGGAGGAGGUCUGACCACGACAAUGAUUCCAUUGCCGGAGAUCGAGGCGAGGAUCUCGGAGAGCAAUGUGAUGAUGAGGAUCCACUGCCAGGACGGCAAAGGGGUCCUUGUCACGUUGCUCGCCGAGGUCGAGGGGCUCCACCUUAGCAUCACACACACCAAUGUCGUGUCUUUCCCGGCUUCCACUCUGAUCAUAAACCUCAUGGCGAAGGCAAGAAAAUGUGAGCACCAACGCCAAAUCUAUAACUUGAACCCUGCUGGCCGGGUAGACGAGGGCUUCACUGUCGCAGCGGACGAUAUUGUAUGGAAGCUCGACUCUGCUUUGCGCCGACAUCAUAGCGGCAAAGGAUAG
rnacentral:rRNA from 1 species